GAUGAACGCUGGCGGCGUGCCUAAUACAUGCAAGUCGAGCGAACGGACGAGAAGCUUGCUUUUCUGAUGUUAGCGGCGGACGGGUGGGUAACACGUGGAUAACCUACCUAUAAGACUGGGAUAACUUCGGGAAACCGGAGCUAAUACCGGAUAAUAUUUUGAACCGCAUGGUUCAAAAGUGAAAGACGGUCUUGCUGUCACUUAUAGAUGGAUCCGCGCUGCAUUAGCUAGUUGGUAAGGUAACGGCUUACCAAGGCAACGAUGCAUAGCCGACCUGAGAGGGUGAUCGGCCACACUGGAACUGAGACACGGUCCAGACUCCUACGGGAGGCAGCAGUAGGGAAUCUUCCGCAAUGGGCGAAAGCCUGACGGAGCAACGCCGCGUGAGUGAUGAAGGUCUUCGGAUCGUAAAACUCUGUUAUUAGGGAAGAACAAAUGUGUAAGUAACUGUGCACAUCUUGACGGUACCUAAUCAGAAAGCCACGGCUAACUACGUG
rnacentral:rRNA from 1 species